CUCUCAAUACAUCCUUAAGCGCCCGGGGAACCCCACACCAGCCACACGUGUCCUGCCAGCAACACCUACUGAACCAUUCACCUGCCACAGGUCUUGGUCAGUAUCACCUCCUCUCAAGCAAUCGUCAACACCUUCACCUCUCCAGCAGAAGCCACGAUGAAGCUGUUGCUGCUCUCAGCUCUGUUGCUGACGAUUGUUGUUGUGGGAACAACCUCUCACCCUGGGAGAGGCUGUCCGGAUCCCCUCUCGUACGGAAGGUACUGCAUUCGGUACGUCGACACGUGUCAUUCUGACCAGGAGUGUCAGAGGAAUAACUGGGGCCGCAAGUGUUGUCUUGUUGCUGGCUGUGGCAAGGAGUGCAGGAGCUAAGGUCAGAAGGAACAAAGAGCACGCUGCAGGAUGGCCAGAAGGACACGUUUCAGGACGGCCAGAAGGACACGCAAUAGGAGCAAGUUGUAGGAGCGUUUUUAUAUUAUCAAUAAAAUUAUUUCAGCCAGUGGAGGCGCUGUGUAACAUUCCUUAAUAAAAUCAGCAUUACACACGUCUAGAAUAUUUUCAUCUAUCACGAGUGCUUGGAACCUGUCCGGGGAACACACCCUAAGAUGCUCCAGCUCACUUGGACGAGUUGACACCUUGACUCCACAGUUGUCUCCCAGCAACUGUCAACCUCAAGAUGGCACAACUGAUAUGAACGUAUCAAGAUAUGCAAAACAACACACAAGACAUGCAGAAAAUCGCACAAUAAAUGGAAAAGAUAUAUAGUAAAUGCAGAACAACAAAUAAUAAACGAAGAAUAAUGCAAAAGACCAGAAAAAUAGCAAACACACAAUAAUUAAAGAAUAAGGCAAAAGACAAAAAAAGAACAACAUUAAAUAAAUGCAGAAAACGUACAAUAAAUACAGAACAGCCCACAAUAAAUGAAAGACAGCCCACAAAAAAUGAAAGACAGCCCACAAUAAGUGAAAGACAGCCCACAAUAAAGGCAGGACAGCACACCACCAUAAAAUAACCUUUUAGGAAUUAGUGAAAUUUUUAGUUCGUGUAUCCAAACCUUUAAUUUUGUAUUAAAGAUUAAGUUUGACAUUUUCCUAGUUGUACUGGCACUUGUAUUAUACUUGUAUAAUGAGAAGGCUUGACAUUUUCCUAGUGGUAUUAUCACUUGCAUUAUAAUUUUAAUAUAAUUAGGCUUUACAUUUUCAUAGUGUUAUAUUGUCACUUUAGGUUAUACCUCAGCUUAGAUCAUAACAUCUUUGCUUGAAGAUUUCUAGAUUUCUUUUUAACUUAAACUGGGAGAUUAGUAACUAUUAACAGGUUUAUAAGUUACUAUACUUGUCUAUCCUCUUAACCUAUAUAUAUUGAAUUUCUGCAUAUAUAUAGUUAUCAUGACCCUCGUCCUCUUCUGAUCGUGUCUUACCCAAGACCCAUAUAUUAAAUACCAGCCAGUUGCUGACUGACAAUGGCUGAAUUAACAAGCAAAAUUAAAGAU